rnacentral:rRNA from 1 species
UACGAAGGGGACUAGCGUUGUUCGGAAUCACUGGGCGUAAAGCGCACGUAGGCGGAUUUGUAAGUCAGGGGUGAAAUCCUGGAGCUCAACUCCAGAACUGCCUUUGAUACUGGUGAUCUUGAGUCCGGGAGAGGUGAGUGGAACUGCGAGUGUAGAGGUGAAAUUCGUAGAUAUUCGCAAGAACACCAGUGGCGAAGGCGGCUCACUGGCCCGGUACUGACGCUGAGGUGCGAAAGCGGUGGGGAGCAAACC